rnacentral:rRNA from 1 species
UACAGAGGUCCCAAGCGUUGUUCGGAUUCACUGGGCGUAAAGGGUGCGCAGGUGGCAUGGCAAGUUUGAUGUGAAAUCUCCGGGCUCAACCCGGAAAUGGCAUUGAAUACUGUCGUGCUGGAGGUUUGGAGGGGGGGACUGGAAUUCUCGGUGUAGCAGUGAAAUGCGUAGAUAUCGAGAGGAACACCAGUGGCGAAGGCGAGUCCCUGGACAACACCUGACACUGAGGCACGAAAGCCGGGGGAGCAAACAGG